rnacentral:rRNA from 1 species
GGGGAAUUUUGGACAAUGGGCGCAAGCCUGAUCCAGCAAUGCCGCGUGCAGGAUGAAGGCCUUCGGGUUGUAAACUGCUUUUGUACGGAACGAAAAGCCUCUCUCUAAUACAGGGGGGUGAUGACGGUACCGUAAGAAUAAGCACCGGCUAACUACGUGCCAGCAGCCGCGGUAAUGACGUAGGGUGCAAGCGUUAAUCGGAAUUACUGGGCGUAAAGCGUGCGCAGGCGGUUUUGUAAGACAGUGGUGAAAGCCCCGGGGUCAACCUGGGAAAUGCCCAUGGUACGGGAAAGCUGGAGUGGGGCAGAGGGGGAUGGAAUUCCGGGGGUAGCAGGGAAAUGCGGAGAUAUGCGGAGGAACACCGGUGGCGAAGGCAAUCCCCUGGGCCUGCACUGACGCUCAUGCAAGAAAACGUGGGGAGCAAACA